CCGCCUAGCCGUGCGGUCGUGUCCGCUGAACGUUCUCCUGCGCGCAUCACUCGACUCAUGCACACUCGUACGCGCGCGCGCCCGGCGCCGCCGCGCACUCACACACGCGCACCGCUAUACACUCGCACACCACCACCGUUCACCAGUUCAUUUCGCAUACUUCCACGUCACGCAUACUCUUACACUGACCGUCGUCGCACUCGCACCGUCUCCGUCUCGUCGUAGUCUCUCCGUGUUCACAGGUGAGUUCCUCGCGCACAUUAUUCUUCAUGUUAACUUUAUUUAUUUUAUUUUGUUUUUUUUUUUUUUCCGUGUUUAAAUUUUUAUUUCUCGAACAAUUUUCAUUUUGUGUUUGCGGUAUUUAUUUUAAUUUUUUUUUCUCUCCGUUUUACCGCACAGGCUUCUUCGUCCUUGUCCGUCCGCAUGACCGCGUGGUUUUCGAAUUUAUUACGUCUCUCGUUCCGUCCAAACGAGACUUGUAUUUUUUUUUUUUCGGUUUUAAAAAAAAACUUCGUUUAUUAUUUAUUAUUUUUUAUUUUUCGGUUUUUACUUAUUUUUUUCCCCGUCGCGCCCGUAGUGUUCGUGUUUACGAACAGUCGCCGGUUUUCCGAAAUAAAUAACGUUUUUAAAUAACAUUAAUAAAAAUAAAUAAAGAAUCUCUGCCGAUGAUAGUGUGGGGGGAGGCCAAAGAGAGAAAAAUCCCCCAGACGGCGGCGUCGUCGACCGGUGGCCGUCUUUGGAACGGGUUUUUUUUUUUUUUUUAUUUCGUAUUUUUCAGUUCUUCGGCGCACGUCUUCCACCACGGACACCGCCCGCUAAACCACGCGGGCCGGACCAGACGGCCGAGACUCAGUCUUUCGUACAAGAAGAAAAAAAAAACAGCAAUGACCACUAGCGAGGUAUAGAGUUCCUACGUUCUUGAAUUUAUUACUCGUAGGAACUUCAUACCGUGCUCUUGGGCUUGUGACAAUCUGCGAUGGACACGCGGUUUUGUACGAAUUUUUUUUUUUUUUCAAAAUUUAUUUAUACAAUUAUUAUUACGAUAAGAUUUUUUUUUUUUUUUUUACUCUGUAUUUUUAUUUGAACUUUUUUUUUUUUUAUCUGUAUAUUUUAUUUGUAUUUUCC